rnacentral:lncRNA from 1 species
UUGUAAACUGGAAAGGGUAUUUCUUCACUAGGAUCAUCUUAAAUACUUAAGACAUCUCUUAAAUCUCUCUUUGAAAGCAAUAAAAGUCCUAGUUCUACAAAUUUGAACAAGACAUAAUAAUUGAUGACUUUUCUCUCAUUUGUAUUCCAGGUGUCUUGCCUCCACAGUUAGAAAAAACAAGCUGGAAUAAUUCCACCUGGUUCUUGGACUCUCUGAAGUUACUUCGUGUGAAUGAGUCUUGAGUUUGGUCCAGCUUCACUGAUGGUCAUGAUAUAACAAAUAUCUGGAUAAUAUUUGGAGUUUAUCAUAAUUUGAGAAACUAGUUUUUAUGUCUUUACUGUACUCUUGAGCUUAUCCCAUUAGAAGAUUGAGCCUCUCACCUAUGAAUUGGACCUGGUAUAAAAUUUCCAUGUCUAUAAUUUCACGGCAUCAGAAGUGGAAUCUGAAGAACCUCAAGGUCUCUGAGGCCAGUGAGGAACCAGGUCCUGGGGCCCUCAGAGCCCUGUGA